rnacentral:rRNA from 1 species
UGCGGGGGGUGCGAGCGUUGUCCGGAAUCACUGGGCGUAAAGGGCGCGUAGGUGGUUUGAUAAGGGUGUGGUGAAAGUCCGGAGCUCAACUCCGGAUCUGCCGUGCCGACUGUCAAACUCGAGGGCUGUAGAGGCAGACGGAAUUCCGGGUGUAGCGGUGGAAUGCGUAGAGAUCCGGAGGAAGACCGGUGGCGAAGGCGGUCUGCUGGGCGAGUUUCUGACACUGAGGCGCGACGAGCGUGGGGAGCAAACAGG